rnacentral:rRNA from 1 species
GAUGAACGCUGGCGGCGUGCCUAAUACAUGCAAGUCGAGCGAACGGACGAGAAGCUUGCUUCUCUGAUGUUAGCGGCGGACGGGUGAGUAACACGUGGAUAACCUACCUAUAAGACUGGGAUAACUUCGGGAAACCGGAGCUAAUACCGGAUAAUAUUUUGAACCGCAUGGUUCAAAAGUAAAAGACGGUCUUGCUGUCACUUAUAGAUGGAUCCGCGCUGCAUUAGCUAGUUGGUAAGGUAACGGCUUACCAAGGCAACGAUGCAUAGCCGACCUGAGAGGGUGGUCGGCUACACUGGAACUGAGCCGCGGUCCAGACUCCUACGGGAGGCAGCAGUAGGGAAUCUUCCGCAAUGGGCGAAAGCCUGACGGAGCAACGCCGCGUGAGUGAUGAAGGUCUUCGGAUCGUAAAACUCUGUUAUUAGGGAAGAACAUAUGUGUAAGUAACUGUGCACAUCUUGACGGAACCUAAUCAGAAAGCCACGGCUAACUACGUG